GACGAACGCUGGCGGCGUGCCUAAUACAUGCAAGUAGGACGCAGUUGCGAACGGGUGAGUAACGCGUAGGUAACUACCUAUUAGAGGGGGAUAACUAUUGGAACCGAUAGCUAAUACCGCAUACUAGUAGAUGGACCUGCGUUGUAAUGGCUAGUAGGUAGGGUAAUGGCCUACCUAGGCAACGAUACAUAGCCGACCUGGGGGGGUGGUCCGCCAAACUGGGACUGGGACACGGCCCAGACUCCUAACGGGAGGAGCAGGAGGGAAUUUUCGGCCAUGGGGCGAACCCUGAACGAGCAACGGCGGGUGAGUGAAGAAGGUUUUCGGAUCGUAAAGGUAUGUUGUUAAGGGAGCGGUACUUAACCAGAAAGGGACGGCUAACUACGUGCCAGCAGCCGCGGUAAUUC
rnacentral:rRNA from 1 species